UACAUAAGGAGCAAGCGUUGUCCGGAAUUAUUGGGCGUAAAGGGUGCGUAGGCGGCCUUUUAAGUCAGAUGUGAAAGACCACGGCUUAACCGUGGGGUUGCAUUUGAAACUGGAGGGCUUGAGUAUCGGAGAGGGUAGUGGAAUUCCCAGUGUAGCGGUGGAAUGCGUAGAUAUUGGGAGGAACACCAGUGGCGAAGGCGACUACCUGGACGAAAACUGACGCUGAGGCACGAAAGCUAGGGGAGCAAACAGGAUUAGAUACCCCCGUAGUCCCUGAGCGGG
rnacentral:rRNA from 1 species